rnacentral:rRNA from 1 species
CAGCAGCCGCGGUAAUACGUAGGGCGCGAGCGUUGUCCGGAAUUAUUGGGCGUAAAGGGCUUGUAGGCGGCUGGUCGCGUCUGUCGUGAAAUCCUCUGGCUCAGCUGGGGGCGUGCGGUGGGUACGGGCUGGCUUGAGUGCGGUAGGGGAGGCUGGAACUCCUGGUGUAGCGGUGGAAUGCGCAGAUAUCAGGAGGAACACCGGUGGCGAAGGCGGGUCUCUGGGCCGUUACUGACGCUGAGGAGCGAAAGCGUGGGGAGCGAACAGGAUUAGAUACCCUGGUAGUCCAUGCUGUAAACGUUGGGCACUAGGUGUGGGGGGUCUUUCCGGGCCGUCCGCGCCGUAGCUAACGCAUUAAGUGCCCCGCCUGGGGAGUACGGCCGCAAGGCUAAAACUCAAAGGAAUUGACGGGGGCCCGCACAAGCGGCGGAGCAUGCGGAUUAAUUCGAUGCAACGCGAAGAACCUUACCAAGGCUUGACAUGGGCCGGCUGCUCCUGGAGACGGGGGCUCCCCUCUUUUUUGGGGCUGGUUCACAGGUGGUGCAUGGUUGUCGUCAGCUCGUGUCGUGAGAUGUUGGGUUAAGUCCCGCAACGAGCGCAACCCUUGUCCCGUGUUGCCAGCGCGUGGUGGCGGGGACUCGCGGGAGACUGCCGGGGUUAACUCGGAGGAGGGUGGGGACGACGUCAAAUCAUCAUGCCCCUUAUGUCUUGGGCUUCACGCAUGCUACAAUGGCCGGUACAGUGGGUUGCGAUGUCGUGAGGCGGAGCGGAUCCCUUAGAGCCGGUCUCAGUUCGGAUCGGUGUCUGCAACUCGACACCGUGAAGCUGGAGUCGCUAGUAAUCGCAGAUCAGCACUGCUGCGGUGAAUACGUUCUCGGGCCUUGUACACACCGCCCGUCACGUCAUGAAAGCCGGCGACACCCGAAGCCCGUGGCCCUGUGGGGAGCGGUCGAAGGUGGGGCUGGUGAUUGGGACGAAGUCGUAACAAGGUAGCCGU